GAUGAAGAACGUAGCGAAAUGCGAUAGGUAAUGUGAAUUGCAGAAUCCAGUGAAUCAUCGAAUCUUUGAACGCACAUUGCGCCCGCCAGCAUUCUGGCGGGCAUGCCUGUUCGAGCGUCAUUUCAACCCUCGACCUCCCUUUGGGGAAGUCGGCGUUGGGGACCGGCAGCACACCGCCGGCCCUGAAAUGGAGUGGCGGCCCGUCCGCGGCGACCUCUGCGUAGUAAUCCAACUCGCACCGGAACCCCGACGCGGCCACGCCGUAAAACACCCAACUUCUGAACGUUGACCUCGAAUCAGGUAGGACUACCCGCUGAACUUAAGCAUAUCAAUAAGCGGAGGA
rnacentral:misc_RNA from 1 species